GUUGAAGUGACGUUACAGAUUUCGGUGAUUAGUGGACCUGUGUGAAGUGUUUGGGUUGACACUAGUGUCUAUUCCUGGGAUUCUCUGAAGGAGGACUUCAGGAGUCUGCUGGCAUGCGAAGAGGACCACCAUCCCUGACAGACAGAGACUGGGCCCAAGGUGAGGCAGGUCAGGCAGUAGCCUCCAGUCUCCACAGAUCUGCCCAGAAGUGGCAGAAUGAGAUGAAUUUAAAGGUUGAUGGAAAGUCUGAAGUGUAGCGAGGGAGGGAGAGUCUCAGGGGGACGUCGUCAUAGCUUCCUGACAUGGAGCCACGGGCCACAAACCUGUGGUGGCUUCAGACAGCCUGUCCCCACCACCUCUCUCUCCACUCAGCUCUACUCUUCUCCGCUCGGCUAAAAUCAAAGCCAUGCCUUUUUGGAGACAUUGUGCCGGCUGUAAACGUUCCCCAUCUUCACGUGCGAGAGAGAGAGUCUUUCAUGUCGACUGUGGUUUCUAUUUGAAAAAAAG
ensembl:lncRNA